GGUUGUAUGGAGUAGUGGUCAACUUAGGAGAUUUUGACAUGAAGUCCAUAGCGGGAUCCACUGUUCGAAUUUUCUCUUGCCCUGGGUUCGAAUCCCAGUACGACCU